rnacentral:rRNA from 1 species
UCAGGAUGAACGCUGGCGGCAGGCUAAUACAUGCAAGUCGAACGGUAACAGAGCUAGCAAUAGCUGCUGACGAGUGGCGGAUGGGUGCGUAACGCGUAUGCAACCUACCUGUAAUUGGAACAUAACGUUGAGAAAUUAGCGCUAAUAUUCCAUGUGGAUAUGAGACGGCAUCGUUUUAUAUUUAAAGAUUAAUUGAUUACAGAUGGGCAUGCGUAUCAUUAGCUAGUUGGUAAGGUAACGGCUCACCAAGGCAACGAUGAUUAGGGUUCUGAGAGGAUAUCCCCCACACUGGAACUGAGACACGGUCCAGACUCCUACGGGAGGCAGCAGUAGGGAAUAUUGGGCAAUGGAGGCAACUCUGACCCAGCCAUGCCGCGUGAAGGAAUACAGCCCUACGGGUUUUAAACUUCUUUUAUUAUAGAGUAACCGGAGGUACGUGUACCUCCCUGCAAGUAUAUAAUGAAUAAGGAUCGGCUAACUCCGUGCCAGCCGCCGC